GCCAGUCUCAAACCCGAAACCUUCAUUGGUUUGACCACAGCUUCCCAGAAUUCCCACUCCUUCCUGGUCAAACCACGACAACCUCAAACCAAACCCACUGUUUUCAUUAUUUUUAGAAUAACAAAUACAUACAUUCUCCUUGGUAGAUGUCUUCUUCUGCUUGCCUGGCUCAGGGAUGGUGACUCAACCACUUCACUGAGCAGCCUGUUUCAGUGCUUGAAAAAAAUUUAUUUUUUUCUUCAGUUGAUUCAAUGUUUCAUGUUAAUCAGGCUUAACCUUAUUUGCACAUACAAUGAGAUGGCACACAUCUCAAAGAAAGGAGCAAAGCUCAGUGUUGCUAGAUAAGAAACCUGGAAAAAAUUGCCCAGAGAAAUUCUGGAUGCCCCACUGCUGGAGGUGUUCAAGGCCAGGUUGGAUGGGGCUCUGAGCAAUGUGGUCUAGUGAAAGCUGUGGGGUUGGAACUAGAUGCUCUUUGUGUCCCUUCUAACCCAAGCCACUCUGAGAUUCCAAGUAAUAAUUUUAAAUUGUGCUGACAUGUGGGGGAUCUUUAUGUUCAGGAGCAUGAAGGAGUGAAGAAAUGCUCCAAGAUUUAUGCUGAGAAGAGGGGCACCCACCUUGUCAUCAGUUCCUGGCUGCUGUCAGCUGUGUAUAGUUCAUUUAAUGCCUGCUCUGUCCUUCCCUGGCAGUGCAAGCACUACAGCUCAUUAUCAAAGCUGUUGGGGAAACCAGUGUUGCAUAUCUUGGACCUAUCACAAAAGCCAAGAUGGUGAGGAAUGGGACUCUCAAAUCUAUGUUUAUUUCCAUAAUCUAACCUUCCUCUGUAAUUUAGGCUGCUCUGGAUUAACCUCAAGAGCCUCAUUCACGUGAUGAUAGGUGUGUUCUGUACCUUCUGUGUCCAUCUAUGUUGUCUGUUGAACCAAGAAGUCCUCCUGUCUUGCAAGAAAAACAAGGGGACAGGGACAGAUUUUUCUCUUUGGUGCCACCUCUUUCUCAUCUGCUUAUUCAUUCCACCUGUUUGGAGAGCUCUCUGCUCCCUGCAGAGAGAAGUCACUAAAGCUGAACUUUCAUCUGAACUCUCUCAAAGCUCUUCACGGAGGAGCCCCCUGCCUUGCCAUGGGGUGUUGUCUUACCUCCUGUGGUCCCUCUACCAUUUCUCUGCCAGUUGUUUGGAGAAGGACUCAAUGCCAUCUGCUAUUUUUUCCUAAUGGCAAGCAAAGAUCUUGAACUAAUUCCAUGUGGCUUUUUAUAGAGCUAAGAUUGCGAUCGUCCUAAUAUGCUGAAGUGGAAGUUUAACAGCAGGGGCUGCCCUCACUCAAUCUGUUUGGGGCUGGUAACUAUAGACACAAAUGAGGAACCAGCUGAAGCUGGUUGUGUCAAGGAUGAACACUCUCAGGGCUACAGACUUUGGCUUACUUUUUUUGUUUUUGUUGGGCUGUUUGAUUUUUUGUUUUGUUGAAUUUUGGGGUUUUUUUCUGGUUUUGUUGUAGUUGUUGUUUUGUUGUUGUUAUUGUUCUUUUGGGGUUUUGUUGUAGGAUAUAUAACUAUCCCCUGUUGUAACAAUAUUUGCUAAGCAAUAAAUUCUUCAAGUUCUUGUUCAGGUAAAGCUACUGAAGCCAAUGGGGAUUUUGUCAAGGUGAGGGUUGGUUAAAAGGAAUUACAAGAACGCAGGUUCUGACUAAUUGUAUCCCACUGAAGAAACUCCUUGCUUCUCUUCCACUUGUGAAAAUGUGAUGUUUCUCUAGAAGGAAAAUAAAAGUGUAUUUAAAGUAA